UACGGAGGGUGCAAGCGUUAUCCGGAUUCACUGGGUUUAAAGGGUGCGUAGGCGGACACUUAAGUCCGUGGUGAAAUCUCUGGGCUUAACCCAGAAACUGCCAUGGAUACUAUUUGUCUUGAAUGUUGUGGAGGUUAGCGGAAUAUGUCAUGUAGCGGUGAAAUGCAUAGAUAUGACAUAGAACACCAAUUGCGAAGGCAGCUGGCCACACAAAUAUUGACGCUGAGGCACGAAAGCGUGGGGAUCAAACAGG
rnacentral:rRNA from 1 species